rnacentral:rRNA from 1 species
UAUGCAACCUACCACCAUCAGGGGUAUAGCCCGAAGAAAUUCGGAUUAACACCGCAUGAAGACACAGUACCGCAUGGUACAAUGUCCAAAUAUUUAUAGGAUGGUGAUGGGCAUGCGUGCCAUUAGCUAGUUGGCGGGGUAACGGCCCACCAAGGCGACGAUGGCUAGGGGAUCUGAGAGGAUGGCCCCCCACACUGGUACUGAGACACGGACCAGACUCCUACGGGAGGCAGCAGUAAGGAAUAUUGGUCAAUGGGGGCAACCCUGAACCAGCCAUGCCGCGUGCAGGAAGACAGCCCUACGGGUCGUAAACUGCUUUUAUACGGGAAUAACCCUUUCCUCGUGAGGAGAGCUGAAGGUACCGUAAGAAUAAGGAUCGGCUAACUCCGUGCCAGCAGCCGCGGUAAUACGGAGGAUCCAAGCGUUAUCCGGAUUUAUUGGGUUUAAAGGGAGCGUAGGCGGCCCGCUAAGUCAGGGGUGAAAGACGGUGGCUCAACCAUCGCAGUGCCCUUGAUACUGGCAGGCUUGAAUAUAGUUGAGGUGGGCGGAAUGUGACAAGUAGCGGUGAAAUGCAUAGAUAUGUCACAGAACGCCGAUUGCGAAGGCAGCUCACCAAGCUAUUAUUGACGCUGAGGCUCGAAAGCGUGGGGAUCAAACAGGAUUAGAUACCCUGGUAGUCCACGCCCUAAACGAUGAUAACUCGAUGUUGGCGAUAUACAGUCAGCGUCCAAGCGAAAGCGUUAAGUUAUCCACCUGGGGAGUACGCCCGCAAGGGUGAAACUCAAAGGAAUUGACGGGGGCCCGCACAAGCGGAGGAGCAUGUGGUUUAAUUCGAUGAUACGCGAGGAACCUUACCCGGGCUUGAAAGUUACUGAAGGUACCAGAGACGGUACCGUCCUUCGGGACAGGAAACUAGGUGCUGCAUGGCUGUCGUCAGCUCGUGCCGUGAGGUGUUGGGUUAAGUCCCGCAACGAGCGCAACCCCUGUGUCCAGUUGCCAGCAUG